rnacentral:rRNA from 1 species
UGGCUCAGGACGAACGCUGGCGGCGUGCCUAACACAUGCAAGUCCAGGAGAAAAGGUUUCUUCGGAGGCCUGAGUAAACUGGCGAACGGGUGAGUAACACGUAGGUAACCUGCCCUUAGAUUUGGGAUAACAUUGCUAACGCGGUGCUAAUACCGAAUGAUGCAGCGGAUCCGCAGGAUAUGUUGUUAAAGCUGGCCUCUACUUGUAAGCUAGUGUCUAAGGAUGGACCUGCGCCCCAUUAGCUAGUUGGUGAGGUAACGGCCCACCAAGGCUACGAUGGGUAGCCGGCCUGAGAGGGUGAUCGGCCACACUGGGACUGAGAUACGGCCCAGACUCCUACGGGAGGCAGCAGUGAGGAAUAUUGCGCAAUGGCCGCAAGGCUGACGCAGCAACGCCGCGUGAGGGAUGAAGUUCUUAGGAAUGUAAACCUCUGUUAGGAGGGACGAAUAGACGAUUGUCGAACAGGCAGUUGUUUUGACGGUACCUUCAGAGAAAGCCCCGGCUAACUCCGUGCCAGCAGCCGCGGUAACACGGGGGGGGCAAGCGUUGUCCGGAAUUAUUGGGCGUAAAGGGCGCGUAGGUGGGAUAGUAUGUCUGGGGUGCAAACUUAUGGCUUAACUGUAAGCUUGCCUUGGAAACUGCUAUUCUUGAGUUCGGGAGAGGGAAGUGGAAUUCCUGGUGUAGCGGUGAAAUGCGUAGAUAUCAGGAAGAACACCGGUGGCGAAGGCGGCUUCCUGGCCCGAUACUGACACUGAGGCGCGAAAGUGCGGGGAGCAAACAGGAUUAGAUACCCUGGUAGUCC